rnacentral:rRNA from 1 species
AACGAACGCUGGCGGCAGGCCUAACACAUGCAAGUCGAGCGAGGACUUCGGUCCUAGCGGCGGACGGGUGAGUAACGCGUGGGAACGUGCCCUUUGCUUCGGAAUAGCCCUGGGAAACUUGGAGUAAUACCGGUUGAGCCCUUUUGGGGAAAGAUUUAUCGGCGAAGGAUCGGCCCGCGUUGGAUUAGGUAGUUGGUGGGGUAAUGGCCUACCAAGCCGACGAUCCAUAGCUGGUUUGAGAGGAUGAUCAGCCACACUGGGACUGAGACACGGCCCAGACUCCUACGGGAGGCAGCAGUGGGGAAUCUUAGACAAUGGGGGAAACCCUGAUCUAGCCAUGCCGCGUGAGCGAUGAAGGCCUUAGGGUUGUAAAGCUCUUUCAGCUGGGAAGAUAAUGACGGUACCAGCAGAAGAAGCCCCGGCUAACUCCGUG